rnacentral:rRNA from 1 species
UAGGGAAUCUUCCCCAAUGGACGAAAGCCUGAUGGAGCAACGCCGCGUGUGUGAUGAAGGGUUUCGGCUCGUAAACACUGUUGUAAGAGAAGAAUGACAUUGAGAGUAACUGUUCAAUGUGUGACGGUAUCUUACCAGAAAGGAACGGCUAAAUACGUGCCAG